GGGGGCUCAGGGUGUGGGUGUGGAGAAGAGGCAGGGUCCCAUAGGGGAAGUGUAGAUGUGACACUGACCUGCCUUUCUCUGGGUGCUGCCCAGGUGAGAGGUAAAAAUCCUGAGCCCCGCUGGCAUGUCCAGGACCCAGCUCCCCGGCCCAGGCCAUUGCAGAAUAGCCACUGCCCUGUAUCUAGGUCAGAGGAGAACCAGAGGCUAAGUGGCCUGAGCACAUGACCUCUGGAAUUCGAAUCCUGCCUCUAGUGCCUUUGUGAACUUGGAUUGCGCAAUGGAAAUCAUUGAGGUUUACUGAACAUUACUAAACAAAACUGGGAAAGAGAUGGACGGUAUGACUCAACAGCUUUCCCUUCCAGAGUGACUGCUCUGUUCUUGUGUAACUGCGAAUCAGCCAAUGUGCCAUUGUAGCCUGUGGCAGCCAGGAUCAAUCAGGAUCUCAGCAGAGAAGUGUGUUGCUUUGAGAGCUCUUCCCAGAGAUCAGAGUCCCCUGCAAGCGGCCACUGGUACGGGCCCUGCCCAGAGAGACAGCAAGCCUACCUUGGUUACUGCUGCUCUGGGGCCCUGCUGCAGUAGUUCUGUGGCAUUGUCUGCAGCGUGGAGAGCGAGAUUCAUGCGGCGUAUACCAGGUCCCUGCAUGAGCCAAAGCGGUGGGAACCUGGGCGGAGAUAUAAAUCCAAGUCUCUGUGAAAUCCUGGACAAGUCACCACGGCAGAGGCUCAAAGGCAGGCUUGGCUAAGGCUGACCUGCCAGCCUGCCUCAUGCAUGGCUUCCCUUUUGCAUCCAAGAACCCACCUCCAGCUUACUUGGUCACACUUUAGGAAACAAGUUUCAUGUUUCAGGCAGAUACAGGGAGCAGAUGUUACCAAUUUCUGUGUGAUCACAAGGAUGUGUUUACAAGAAGGGACAUUCCUCAGAUCCAGUCCUACUAAAACAUGGAUCGAGCCACCAGAAACAAAUGCCACCUAAUGCCUACACAAAACACCUGGGUCUGAUCCUGUUACAUUAAGACCCAUUCACACCAUUCUGGCCUGAGGCCUAGAAAAAUCAGGUAUUUCAUACCGAUACAUCUCUGUGAAAUGAUGAUUGAUACUGUCAUUAUGUGUGAAAGAGGAAACGAUUUCUAAAGUUUUUGAAGAACCCUAAUUUAGGGAUGAAAGUUAACGAGCUCUCCGGUAAUGCAGUUUUUGAUGUCGGAGUUGUUUUGGAGAGUAAAUGAAGAAUUGACAACACAGUGGCCAUGAGGAUACAUCUUGAAUGUGGUUGACAAAAGAUUUGAUAAAGUACAUACUGUUAAAUGGGCACAUUUAAACUGUUAGACAGGAGAGAAAAAGAAAUAUAAGUGCCCAACACGUCCAUUUCUACCAGUCAAAAACAGCUCACGUUCUCUUUUACCUUUGUUGGACUUCUUUGGGUGAGUUCAGUCCCAGACUCCAUACACAGGAUCCUUCACAUUGUCUUUCUUUGUGGCCAUAAAUAAUGUAUAUAGUGUUAAGCGGAGUUCAAUGACAGACUCCACUUUACCUAACAUGGACAAGACUAUUAGGAAAUAGGACUCCAGGUUAGAUGCAACAUUACGUUCUCUUGUUAAUGUAGUAACUGAACCCAGUGAAAAUAUAUGCACCCUUAUCUUCAAGGUGAAAGGCUGCAAGAACAAUCUGGUCCCCACUGCAUGACCGUGUCCUGGGCAGGUUAUACCGGCCUCUGACAAGGAUCUGAGUAUUCCAUGACUCUUGCAUAUUAACUGCAAUUGUCCUGCCAAUAAGGUAUUUUUGGACUCAAUUAAAAUGUAUUGAAUUGAGUCAGAUUGGCUGGAUGGGACUUGAGGAGAAACAAGGAAGUGGUGAGCCCUUCAGGAUGGGAGGAGACUGCAGGGGAUGAUGCUAGAGGCACCGGGUGUUUUGACAUCUUAAUUGAGGACCUGUCAAUCCUGGCUGCAACCCUUAGGCCAUGUCUACACUACCACUUCUGUUGGCAAAACUUAUGUUGCUCAGGGAGCUUCUCCCACCAACAUAGCUACUGCUGUUCAUUGGGGGCAGUUUAAUUAUAUUGACAGGAGAGCUCUCUCCUGGCAACACAAGAGAUCUUACAGCGGCAUAGCUCUGUGCUGCGCAAUGCUUCUCCACCUGCAGUACAAUGCAUUCGUCAUCAAGGAAUCAAUCCUGCAAGGUGCUGCGCAGUCUGACCCUGAUCCAGCAAACCAAUGGGACUAUGCACAUGCUCAAACUUAAACACAUGCUUACAUGCUUUGUUGGGUUGGGAUCAAAGUGCUCACCGCUUUGCAGGUUCAAGAUCUUGGCGAAAUAUUGAUAUCGAAUUCAAUUCUGGGCUAAGGCCAUGAUCAAUAUUUAGACACACAGUAAGUCUGAUGUUCUAAGUUUUAAAAAUGUUAAACCAGAAACACACAAAAUAUUAUAAAGCCAGUAAAAAAAUUAAAAUUGGUUAAUUUUAAAUGCUUCUAACUUGUAAUUUAAUCAAUAAAAUAAUUUAAAAUGUUCACAGAAAUUUGUCUAGAUGUUUCACAGAGUGGUGAGAGUUUGGAAAGAAAUAUUUUGUUCUUAGAAAAAAAUCCCUGGAAUUAGUCCCCGACAUUAUUUAAAGCAAACUUCCACCAUAUGGAAUCAAGGCCACCAUCUCCAUAAUUAAACUUUGUUAUAUCCUUGAUACCACUUGAAACAGCUGAUUCAGUCCUUACUGAUCUCAAUUUGCACAUUUUUGGACAGUGGAUUCUCAGAGAAGCAGUGUAUUUUAAAGACUUGUAAGCAGGAGCUAGCUCUGAAUGGAAGAGCUAGUGGAGACACUGACUGUGCCCAAGCUCUGUGCCUGGUGGUGGGAUUAUUUGUCACAUGGAGUGGAUGUGGAAUUUGGAGAAGAUGCCCUCUUCCCUGUGCAUGAGGCCUAGCAGACUGGUCACACACAGAGUCAGCAGGAGCAGCUGCAAGAUGGGAAAACAUGGGAGAAGAGGGGGCGGAAGGAGCUGAACUUGCCAUUUCCCUCCUGAGGAGCUUUGGAGAAUGCAGUCCUUGUAGCUAAGUAAGUGUAACACAUUGUAUAACAAGCACAACAUUGUUCACAUUAUUGAUUUGGGGCUUAAUCCAGCUUCAACAGAAUCAGUGGGAGCCUGGCCUGGCCCUUAUUCCUGGGUCACAGACAUUUUGCCAGACUGAGGGCUGAAUGGGGAAUUUGCCACGGACUGCAGGGAAUGCCCCUGUAACACUGCAUGCAGUGGCGGAGGGUGUGAGUGCCAACCUCAGGGCAGACUGUUAGGAAGCUGGGCACAAACCUCAAAUAGGUGGUGAGUUCGAUACUUAGACUCCACCAACCAAUUAUCAUGUGUAAACUCUUCAGACACUAUAACAGACUUAACAUGGAGUCACAGACAGUCCCCCCUUGGGUACCUGCAUCUAUCUCGCACCCACGUGAGCCUGCCUUUGUGAUAGAUGGACCCUGACACCAAGGAUCACAGCAAUAUUCAGGUUACUCCCAGCCUCAAAGGACCAGUGACUUACCCCAAUUGCAGGCCAAUUGCACCUCAGAUCGCACACCAAAGACAACGUCUGUAGCCAAUCCUAUAAUAAACUACCUACAGAUUCAUUAAAUAUGAAAGUGAAACCAGAGAGUUAUUUACAAGGUUAAAGGAGGUAAACAUAGAUACACAAAUGGGCUACAAUCUUAAGCUUCUAUACUCAACAAGCUCCGUAUGUCCUUUAGGGCGAACCCAGGCUAAGCAGCUGCGGAUCUCUUGCUUAUG